UACAGAGACUGCAAGCGUUGUUCGGAUUCAUUGGGCGUAAAGGGUCCGUAGGCGGUCGGUUAAGUCGGAUGUGAAAUCUCCAAGCUCAACUUGGAAACUGCGUCGGAUACUAUCCGGCUAGAGGAUCGGAGGGGAGACUGGAAUACUUGGUGUAGCAGUGAAAUGCGUAGAUAUCAAGUGGAACACCAGUGGCGAAGGCGAGUCUCUGGACGAUUCCUGACACUGAGGCACGAAAGCCAGGGGAGCAAACGGG
rnacentral:rRNA from 1 species